UGAAGCAGUCGCAUCCAAUUUUGUAUCUAUAAUGAAUCCAGCAAACAAUUUGGUCUUGGUCACAGUGAUGAUCUGCGCGGGCGUUUCCAUUGGUCUUAUAAUUGAUCAACCUCCAUCUUUAUUGCCCAAAGUCGGGCAACAGGCUGUGAACUUGAAAUGUGAACAAGACGACAGUCAGCACCUGAACAUGUACUGGUACAGGCAACUAAGCAGCAGCAGCAGCAUGGAGUUGGUGGCAUACUCCGUCGGUAAAGACAUUUCAACUAUCGAAGCUCCGUUUAAGGACACCAAGUACUCCAUGUCCCGUCCGUCGACGCUCAGCUCCACGCUGCAGAUCAACAGGGUCGAUCCUGGAGACUCGGCUGUGUAUUACUGCGCUUCCAGCAAAGCACAGAGCUUCAAAAAGCAUCGAGAGCAAUGCAAAAACCUCAGCAGAACAUUUCUAUUAAUGUGGAUUCAGAAUAGGAAGGGCAAAAAAAAACAUGUUCCUUGAUGCACAGCGUCAUGUUUCUGCAGCACC